UAGACCGGAGGAGUAGGAAAGGAUAAUUAAUUGUCUAUCCUAUAGCCCUUCCCUACUCCUCCGGUCUAAACUUUAAACU